rnacentral:lncRNA from 1 species
GAGACAAAGGAAACACAGAGACAUAGACAUGGAUCUGGGAAAUACACCUUUUGCUACUCGUUCAGUUUUAGCAAGGAGGUUUCUUGCAUGGCUAAGCAAAACUUAAACUUCCUCUGAGAAUUACAGGAAUUACAGGACCUGACAAAGCUAUGAAGAUUAAAGCCUAUAGGAAGAAAAUCUGAACCAGAAACAGUAUGGCAGAAUUGGGAUCUGACUCACAGAGGGAAGAACUUAUAAUUCUUCACAGGUCACAUAGAAGCAUGAGAAUUUGGGUUCAAGCAAGUAAAUUCUAAAUCAGAAUCCAUACAUAAAGUGUUUGCAAUGUCCAGUUAUAUCUCCAUGAUAUUUUCUUUGUGGAAGUUGAUUGUUCUUCCUUACAAUAAAUUGCUUGAAUUGUCUGUCUAUUCAUUUAGCUAUUUCUUUUCUUGUCUUUGCGAUAUUUUUUUUUGUAAGUAAAAAAUUUUCAGACUAAAUAACAGAAACAUUUUGCACUGUGCUGGGGGAUUCUACCCACAUA